rnacentral:rRNA from 1 species
ACGGCUCAGUAACACGUAGUCAACAUGCCCUGGGGACGUGGAUAACCUCGGGAAACUGAGGAUAAACCGCGAUAGGUCAUCACUUCUGGAAUGGGUGAUGACCUAAAUCUAUAUGGCCCCUGGAUUGGACUGCGGCCGAUCAGGCUGUUGGUGAGGUAAUGGCCCACCAAACCUGUAACCGGUACGGGCUCUGAGAGGAGGAGCCCGGAGAUGGGCACUGAGACAAGGGCCCAGGCCCUAUGGGGCGCAGCAGGCGCGAAACCUCUGCAAUAGGCGAAAGCUUGACAGGGUUACUCUGAGUGAUUUCCGUUAAGGAGAUCUUUUGGCACCUCUAAAAAUGGUGCAGAAUAAGGGGUGGGCAAGUCUGGUGUCAGCCGCCGCGGUAAUACCAGCACCCCGAGUGGUCGGGACGUUUAUUGGGCCUAAAGCAUCCGUAGCCGGUUCUACAAGUCUUCCGUUAAAUCCACCUGCUUAACAGAUGGGCUGCGGAAGAUACUAUAGAGCUAGGAGGCCAGUGGCGAAGGCGGCUUGCCAGAACGCGCUCGACGGUGAGGGAUGAAAGCUGGGGGAGCAAACCGGAUUAGAUACCCGGGUAGUCCCAGCUGUAAACGAUGCAGACUCGGUGAUGAGUUGGCUUAUUGCUAACUCAGUGCUGCAGGGAAGCCGUUAAGUUUGCCGCCUGGGGAGUACGGUCGCAAGACUGAAACUUAAAGGAAUUGGGAGAGGCAAGCGGUACUCGAUGGGUAGGGGUAAAAUCCGUUGAUCCAUUGAAGACCACGGCGGGGGAGCAC